UUUUAUCAAUAAGCGGAGGAAAAGAAACCAACAGGGAUUGCCCUAGUAACGGCGAGUGAAGCGGCAACAGCUCAAAUUUGAAAUCUGGCUCUUUCAGAGUCCGAGUUGUAAUUUGCAGAGGGCGCUUUGGCUUUGGCAGCGGUCCAAGUUCCUUGGAACAGGACGUACAGAGGGUGAGAAUCCCGUACGUGGUCGCUAGCUAUUGCCGUGUAAAGCCCCUUCGACGAGUCGAGUUGUUUGGGAAUGCAGCUCUAAAUGGGAGGUAAAUUUCUUCUAAAGCUAAAUAUUGGCCAGAGACCGAUAGCGCACAAGUAGAGUGAUCGAAAGAUGAAAAGCACUUUGGAAAGAGAGUCAAACAGCACGUGAAAUUGUUGAAAGGGAAGCGCUUGCAGCCAGACUUGCUUGCAGUUGCUCAUCCGGGCUUUUGCCCGGUGCACUCUUCUGUAGGCAGGCCAGCAUCAGUUUGGGCGGUGGGAUAAAGGUCUCUGUCACGUACCUUCCUUCGGGUUGGCCUUAUAGGGGAGACGCCAUACCACCAGCCUGGACUGAGGUCCGCGCAUCUGCUAGGAUGCUGGCGUAAUGGCUGUAAGCGGCCCGUCUUGAACCACGGAC
rnacentral:rRNA from 1 species